GCCUCUAUGGUGUAGUGGUAGCACGCCUCCCUCGCAUGGAAGGACGCCGGUUCAACUCCCGCCCGAGGUU